UACGUAGGGGGCAAGCGUUGUCCGGAUUUAUUGGGCGUAAAGAGCGUGUAGGCGGCUUGACAGGUCUGCUGUGAAAACUCGAGGCUCAACCUCGAGAUGUCGGCGGAAACCGUCUGGCUAGAGUCCGGAAGAGGAGAGUGGAAUUCCUGGUGUAGCGGUGAAAUGCGCAGAUAUCAGGAAGAACACCCGUGGCGAAGGCGGGAUCCUGGGCCAGUACUGACGCUGAGGAGCGAAAGCGUGGGGAGCAAACAGG
rnacentral:rRNA from 1 species